rnacentral:rRNA from 1 species
CCUACGGGUGGCUGCAGUGAGGAAUAUUGGUCAAUGGACGAGAGUCUGAACCAGCCAAGUAGCGUGAAGGAUGAAUGCCCUAUGGUUUGUAAACUUCUUUUAUAAAGGAAUAAAGCGAUGCACGUGUGCCUUUUUGCAUGUACUUUAUUAAUAAGCAUCGGCUAACUCCGUGCCAGCAGCCGCGGUAAUACGGAGGAUUCGAGCGUUAUCCGGAUUUAUUGGGUUUAAAGGGAGCGUAGAUGGUUUUUUAAGUCAGGUGUGAAAGUUUGUGGCUCAACCGUAAAAUUGCCAUUGAUACUGGAAGUCUUGAGUACAGUUGAGGUAGGCGGAAUGCGUGGUGUAGCGGUGAAAUGCAUAGAUAUCACGAAGAACCCCGAUUGCGAAGGCAGCUUACUAAGCUAUGACUGACAUUGAUGCACGAAAGUGUGGGUAUCAAACAGGAUUAGAUACCCCGGUAGUC